rnacentral:rRNA from 1 species
UACGUAGGGGGCGAGCGUUGUCCGGAUUUAUUGGGCGUAAAGAGCUCGUAGGCGGUUUGUCGCGUCGGUUGUGAAAACCCAAGGCUCAACCUUGGGCCUGCAAUCGAUACGGGCAGACUAGAGUACUGCAGGGGAGACUGGAAUUCCUGGUGUAGCGGUGGAAUGCGCAGAUAUCAGGAGGAACACCGGUGGCGAAGGCGGGUCUCUGGGCAGUAACUGACGCUGAGGAGCGAAAGCCAGGGGAGCAAACGGG